CCUACGGGGGGCAGCAGUGGGGAAUAUUGCACAAUGGAGGGAACCCUGAUGCAGCGACGCCGCGUGAGUGAAGAAGUAUUUCGGUAUGUAAAGCUCUAUCAGCAGGGAAGAAAAUGACGGUACCUGACUAAGAAGCCCCGGCUAACUACGGGCCAGCAGCCGCAGUAAUACGUAGGGGGCAAGCGUUAUCCGGAUUUACUGGGUGUAAAGGGAGCGUAGACGGUUAUUCAAGUCUGAAGUGAAAUCCAAAGGCUCAACCAUGGGACUGCAUUGGAAACUGUAAAACUGGAGUGCAGGAGAGGUGGGCGGAAUUCGUGGUGUAGCGGUGAAAUGCGUAGAUAUUAGGAGGAACACCGGUGGCGAAGGCAGCUUACUGGACUGUAACUGACGCUGAGGCUCGAAGGCGUGGGGAGCAAACAGGAUUAGAUACCCGGGUAGUC
rnacentral:rRNA from 1 species